AAGGGCGCCGAGCAGCGGAGGCGGACGGCGCGCACGGCGCGACGCUGACUCUCACAUUCGCUCACCCACGCUGAAGGGGCCCGGCGCGAAGCACUCCGGGAAGGCAGAGGUGUGUUUUAUGACUUGCUGAAUGGAGUUUUGAAAAGAGCAACGUGAGAACAAAGCUAAAGGAAGAAAAGACCUACAGCUGGACCAGGUGGCCGAAGGACACGAGGAAUCCGCAGCUGUGUAUAUACAAGGGACCCUGUUGGAGAUGUCGUCAAGGGCAGAAAAGAACAAGAACCAAGAAAGAGCCAGCAGGAAAGGAGCCUUGAAGUUUCAACUUAGAGUCUAGAGGUGAAAGCUGAAAUUUUCACCAGUCCCCCAAGAAAUAAGAAAGGUAAUGAUAAUGUAAUGAGCUUUUCAUAAAGCUAAAUUUUCUCAAUGCAGAAGACUGUUCUUUAUUCUGAGAUUAUUUCCCUCCUAACUUUUUUGAUGUGAAAAUGCCCUUUCUUCCCAAAUGAUGCCAGUAAAAAUUAGCCAUUUUUUAAAAUAUCCUUAUUGGGUAAAAUAUAAUGCAGAGAACCCCAUGUUGGUUCCUAAGACCUUUUUUUUUUU